AGAUUGAACGCUGGCGGCAUGCCUUACACAUGCAAGUCGAACGGUAGAGUAGCAAUACUCGAGAGUGGCGAACGGGUGAGUAAUAUAUCGGAACGUGCCCAGUCGUGGGGGAUAACGUAGAGAAAUUUACGCUAAUACCGCAUACGAUCUACGGAUGAAAGCGGGGGACUCGCAAGAGCCUCGCGCGAUUGGAGCGGCUGAUAUCAGAUUAGGCUGUUGGUGAGGUAAAAGCUCACCAAGCCGACGAUCUGUAGCUGGUUUGAGAGAACGACCAGCACACUGGGACUGAGACACGGCCAGACUCCUACGGAGGCAGCAGUGGGGAAUUUUGGACAAUGGGCGAAAGCCUGAUCCAGCAAUGCCGCGUGCAGGAAGAAAGGCCUCGGUGUAACUA
rnacentral:rRNA from 1 species